rnacentral:rRNA from 1 species
AACGAACGCUGGCGGCGUGGAUAAGACAUGCAAGUCGAACGGGACAGGCCGAGUAGCAAUAUUUGGAAUGUUCAGUGGCGAACGGGUGCGUAACACGUGGAUAACAUUCCGGAAAGCGGGGAAUAGCCCAGGGAAACUUGGAUUAAUACCGCAUGUGGCCGCAAGGCUAAAGACGGGGACCGCAAGGCCUGUCACAUUCCGAUUGGUCCGCGGCCUAUCAGCUAGUUGGCGGGGUAAUGGCCCACCAAGGCUACGACGGGUAGCUGGUCUUAGAGGACGACCAGCCACACUGGAACUGAGACACGGUCCAGACACCUACGGGUGGCAGCAGUCGAGAAUCUUUCACAAUGGGGGCAACCCUGAUGGAGCGACGCCGCGUGGAGGAUAAGGUCUUCGGAUUGUAAACUCCUGUCAUGCGAGAACAAGGUACUCAGGCUAAUAACCUGAUUGUUUGAUGGUACCGCAAGAGGAAGAGACGGCUAACUCUGUGCCAGCCGCCGCGGUAAAAC